GGGAAGGUGAUGGCUGCUGAAGAAGUAACCGGUUUUUUAUUUGGAGUCUGUGAAACUUGAGAUUCUACUGAAAAGGAGAGGCUCAUGGAGAUGGGAAGCCAAGAAAAUAAUAUCAUAUACUGAGAAUCGUACCUUUAAUUCUAGCUGCUAGAUGGCUGGGCGUUAAAAUGUCCACAAAGACCUGUUUUGAAAAGCACCUGGAGGAUUUCUCCCACACUUGAUGAAGAUGUAGAACUCUCAGCUCCUCCUGCACUAUGUCUGCCUAGACACUGCCAUGCCUCCUACCUUGACGAUACUGGACUGAACCUCUGAA
rnacentral:lncRNA from 1 species